GUCAAAGCAAAAGUAGUUGAUUAAUUUGCAGCUGUGACUUUAAUUUUCGCUAGUGUUGUAUUUUAUCAUUAAACACGAGUUAGGCUUUUAAAGAAAAAGCAACUGAGCGACAGUUAGCGCAACAAUGUCGUCGGAGGAAUUCGAGAAGUUGCACGAAAUCUUCAAAUCGCUUUACGAGGAGCUGAAGCUGAUGCCGGAGAGAGCCGAGACAUGUCACGGAGAGGAGAGAAAGAGGCUGGUGAGGAGCUUCGACGAGAGGCAGGGGGAGGCUGAGGAAGUGUUACAAGGAAUGGAGGAUGAGCUGCGUGUUGCUCCUUCUUCCUACCGCAAUGCAAUGAAUACAAAGCUGCGCAUGUACCGCCGGGAUCUGGGCAAGCUGCAGAGGGACAUGAAAACCUCUGUGCCUGGAUUUGGUGCUUCUUUCCACACAGCAGAGAGAAGUCAUCAAGGCAUCUAUUCAUCACAAAACCAGCAGAGUACACACUUGCAGUCUCAGAGAGCCCUGCUCCUCCAGGGCACAGACUCUCUCAACAAUGCCACACAGAGUAUUGAACGAAGUCAGCGCAUCGCCGCAGAGACGGAUCAGAUCGGCACGGAUAUCAUCGAGGAGCUGGGAGAGCAGAGGGAACAGCUGGACCGCACCAGAAACAGAUUGGUUCAUACUGGAGAGAACCUCAGUCGAAGUAGAAAAAUUCUUCGUGCCAUGUCUCGGCGGCUCGUGACGAACAAGUUGCUGUUAGGUAUCAUCAUUAUAAUGGAGUUGGCCAUUCUAGGUGCUGUGGUUUAUCUGAAGUUCUUCCGAAAAUGAGCAAACUACAUCUAAAAAACCCCAAAAACUCUUAAGCUUUGGAUCCAGGGCAAGUCCAGACUCUCUGAAACUGUCUCCACCGACUCUCCAAUAGCAAUAAUGUUCCUCUUGUUUCUGUGCGUGCAAAUAAGGACGAGACGAUUAUGUCUUUAAGUGGACCUUUAUUAGGAGGGGAUUCUGUCCAUCAGCAGGUGAAAUCAUUUGACAAGAAAGUCCAAUUGUUGAACCUGUAAAUGGACCAAACUUACAGAAACUCUGUGGACAAACUGUGACCUGAGAUUUGCACUUUUUUUUUUUUUAAAUCAGACUGUUUUUACCGUUGAUGCACUGCAGGAUGAGUUUCUGGACUUGUAUGCUGGCUGCUACAGACCCCAGAGAUGAUGAGAUGAUGCAGGAUUUAUUCAGUACCAUCGACUUACUCCCACAGGGAUGGCAAGCAAAGGUUAGAAAAACAUCCGCUGUGGAGCUGACGUCACCCAAAUUUGUUACAGGCUGAAGCCCCACACCCGGCCAGUUCAGUAUACACAACUACAAUCAUGGGGACGCCAGAUGACGACCAUGGACACCCUUCACAAGGACGGUAAGCCACAGAAGGUCAUUGCAGAAAAGGCUGGCUGUUCCCAGAGUGCUGUAUGGAAGAAUAUUAAUGGAAAAUUGACUGGAAGGGGAAAGUGCAGCAGGAAAAGGUGUACAAGCAACAGAGAUGACUGCAGGAUUGAGAGGAUUGUGAAGAAAAGUUGAUUCAAGAACUUGAAUUUCGCAAGGAGUGGACUGAAGCUGGUGUCAGUGCAUAAAGAGAGACCACACAGAUGUCUUCGGGAAAAGGGCUAAAACGGUCGCAUUCUUAAUGUCACGCCACUCCUGAACCAGAGACAUCAUCAGAGGCGUCUUACCUGGAUCAAGGCGAAGAAGAACUUGACUGUUGCUCAGUGGUCCAAAGUCCUCUUUUCAGAUAAGAGCAAAGUUUGCACUUCAUUUGGAAAUCAAGGUCCUUUAUCAAGUCCAAAGUCAAUGUCUACCAAAAGAUUUUAGAGCACUUCAUGCUUCCAUCUGCUGACAAGCUUUAUUGAGAUGCAGAUUUCUUUUCCAGCAGGGCUUGGCGCCUGCCCACAGUGCCAAAAGUCCUUCCAAAUGGUUAAGCUGACCAUGAUUGCAAACUCGCCUGACCUGAAACUCUGGGGUAUUGUCAAGAGGAAGAUGAGAAACACUCCACCCAAAAAAUACAGACAAGCUGAAGGCAGCUAUCAAAGCAACGUCGGCUUCAUACCACCUCAACACUGCCACAGGUUGAUCGCCUCCAUCCCACACCGCAUUGAUGCAGGAAUUCGUAGUAACGGAGCCCGAACCUGGUAUUUAGUGUAUAAAUGAACAUACCUUUCAGAAGUUGGACAUUUCUGUUUUGUAGAUCAUUUUUUGAAUGAUCCAAGGAAAUAUUCUAAGAAUUUGAGAUACUGAAUUUCUGAGUUUCAUGAGCUAUAGUCCUUAAUCAUCUAAAUUAAAACAAAAAAAGGCUUGAAAUAUUUCAGUUUAUGUGCAAUGAAUAUACAGUGUAUGAAAGUUUACUUUUUUGAAUUGAAUUACGAAGAACAAAUGAACAACAAACUUUUUCAUGAUAUUCUUAUUUUCUGAGAUGCAUCUGUAGUACCCAAAAGUCCCAAACAGAAAUUCAUAAACAUAA